CCUACGGGAGGCAGCAGUGAGGAAUAUUGGUCAAUGGGCGGAAGCCUGAACCAGCCAAGUAGCGUGCAGGAUGACGGCCCUACGGGUUGUAAACUGCUUUUAUACGGGAAUAACGCGCCUUACGUGUAGGGCUUUGCAUGUACCGGAUGAAUAAGGACCGGCUAAUUCCGUGCCAGCAGCCGCGGUAAUACGGAAGGUCCGGGCGUUAUCCGGAUUUAUUGGGGUUAAAGGGAGCGUAGGCCGCAUGUCAAGCGUGCGGUGAAAUGUCCGGGCUCCACCCGGGCCUUGCAGCGCGAACGGGCGUGCUUGUGUCCGCGGUACGCAGGCGGAAUUCGUCGUGUAGCGGUGACAUGCUUAGAUAUGACGAAGAACCCCGAUUGCGAAGGCAGCUUGCUGCAGCGGAACUGACGCUGAUGCUCG
rnacentral:rRNA from 1 species